UACGGGGGGGGCAAGCGUUGUUCGGAGUUACUGGGCGUAAAGGGCUCGUAGGCGGCCAACUAAGUCGGAUGUGAAAUCCCCAGGCUUAACCUGGGAACUGCAUCCGAUACUGGAUGGCUUGAAUCCGGGAGAGGGAUGCAGAAUUCCAGGUGUAGCGGUGAAAUGCGUAGAUAUCUGGAGGAAUACCGGUGGCGAAGGCGGCAUCCUGGACCGGCAUUGACGCUGAUGAGCGAAAGCUAGGGGAGCAAACGGG
rnacentral:rRNA from 1 species